rnacentral:tRNA from 1 species
GAGGGUAUAGCUCAGUGGUAGAAUGCAUGCUUAGCAUGCAUGACGUCCUAGGCUCAGUCCCCAGUACCUCCA